rnacentral:rRNA from 1 species
CCUACGGGUGGCUGCAGUGGGGAAUAUUGGACAAUGGGCGGAAGCCUGAUCCAGCCAUGCCGCGUGUGUGAAGAAGGCCUUUUGGUUGUAAAGCACUUUAAGCGAGGAGGAGGCUACCUAGAUUAAUACUCUGGGAUAGUGGACGUUACUCGCAGAAUAAGCACCGGCUAACUCUGUGCCAGCAGCCGCGGUAAUACAGGGGGUGCGAGCGUUAAUCGGAUUUACUGGGCGUAAAGCGUGCGUAGGCGGCUGAUUAAGUCGGAUGUGAAAUCCCUGAGCUUAACUUAGGAAUUGCAUUCGAUACUGGUCAGCUAGAGUAUGGGAGAGGAUGGUAGAAUUCCAGGUGUAGCGGUGAAAUGCGUAGAGAUCUGGAGGAAUACCGAUGGCGAAGGCAGCCAUCUGGCCUAAUACUGACGCUGAGGUACGAAAGCAUGGGGAGC